rnacentral:rRNA from 1 species
CCUACGGGUGGCAGCAGUGAGGAAUAUUGGUCAAUGGGCGGGAGCCUGAACCAGCCAAGCCGCGUGAGGGAAGAAGGUACAGCGUAUCGUAAACCUCUUUUGUCAGGGAACAACGGCUGGGACUAGUCCCCGGAUGAGGGUACCUGAAGAAAAAGCAUCCGCUAACUGCGUGCCAGCAGCCGCGGUAAUACGGAGGAUGCGCGCGUUAUCCGGAUUUAGUGGGUUGAAAGGGUUCGCAGGCGGCCUGUUAAGUCAGCGAUAAAAGCCCGGGGCGAAACCCCGGCGAGCCGUUGAAACGGGCGGUAUGGAGUGGGAGAGAAGUACGCGGAAUGCGCGGUGUAGCGGUGAAAUGCUUAGAUAUCGCGCAGAACCCCGAUUGCGAAGGCAGCGUACCGGCUCCACACUGACGCUGAGGCACGAAAGCGUGGGUAUCGAACAGGAUUAGAUACCCCGGUAGUC